AGAGGAAAUUCAGCAAUCCUACAUAAACACAGAGGUCUCUGACUUAGGGUAGCUGGCUAAAUUGAAUCAUUCCCCUCCACACACU
ensembl:scaRNA